UUUUCAGGCCAUGCCACCCUGAACGUGCCCGAUCUCGUCUGAUCUCGGAAGCUAAGCAGGGUCGGGACUGGUUAGUACUUGGAUGGGAGACCACCUAGGAAGACCCGGUGCUGUAGGU
rnacentral:rRNA from 1 species